GGCUUAGUCAGUCAGUAAUCAACUGCAGUUCGGGGUGGAAAGUGUCGUCGUCGAGUGGAAAGUGGGCGGGGAAAUCGCUCUUCUUGUUGCGGAAUUGACUCGCACCAAUACAAAUACCCAAUGCUACGCAUAUAUGAGGGCGAUCUCUCGCACACACACACGGAUUUUCACACACACUGCGAGCGUAAUGAAUUGAUGGUUAUUUUCAAAAAUCCAACGACUGUCCGCGCGAUCACUGCACAAAUCAGUUGUGGAAUCGCCCUCGACCGGCAAUGUUCUCCGCGUUCUCGAACUCGGACCUCCGAUCGCAGAUCGCAGAUCUCAUAUCUUGGACCACCGAAACCCCAACUGUGAAAUAAUUCCAAAUCGAAUCUCUUCAAGGAAUUGUAAAACUCGGUGCUUAACACAAUCUAGCUUUUGCCUUCAAAAUACUCAAUAAUUAUAAACUCUAUAAAUAUAUACAUAUACGUUUGAGAUCGAUGACUACUGGUCAAUUCUCCGAGCGGGGUUAAGACCCUUCCAUGGCGCGAUAAUCGCAAUCAUCGUUCUCGUCGUCAACAGCGGCAACAGGCACACCAGCAACACCAACAGCAGCACCAACAGCAACACCAACAGCAACACCAACAGCAACACCAACAGCAACAGCAGCAACAUGGAAAGCAGCAACAUCAGCGAUGAGUGUUCGCCUCGUGCGGAUCUCUAUCUCACACCCACUCUCUCUUCCCGAUUCUCCGGAAUAUAUAACUGAUGAAUGCAUUCAGCCAGCUAUUUAUUGUGCUCCGUUUGUGCAUCUUGCGCUGACAAAUUGUUGAAUGUGAGAGCUCCUCUGAUGUUUUUUUGACAAGUACUUGACGCUCCUGCCCCGGCGGCAACAGCAAUCAUAAUCGGGCGAUGCGAUGCGGCAACAAUAAGACUGUGCAGCAGCAGCAACAGCCACAUUGUAUGUAGUUAUAUUCGUUUUAUUCGUUUAAAUUCAAUUGACUUUGAAUGCUCCAGCAAUGAAGGCAGCAAGGCAGCCAAGGCAGCAACAAAAACACACAGACACACAGCGAUGUUGUCGACGUUGUCGUCUGUCAUGGAGCAAUUUUGAACGCUGUCGGCAAAUACGGGCAACGGGCAAACGGGCAACGGAAAACGAAUGAGGGUCAAUUAAGCCAAUUUAAAUUUAAUAAACUUAUGUAUUAUGUGCAA